rnacentral:tRNA from 1 species
GCGAGAGUGGCGGAAUUGGUAGACGCACUGGACUUAGGAUCCAGCUCUGAAAAGAAUGGGAGUUCAAGUCUCCCCUCUCGCA